rnacentral:rRNA from 1 species
UACGUAGGGUGCGAGCGUUAAUCGGAAUUACUGGGCGUAAAGCGUGCGCAGGCGGUUUUGCAAGACAGAAGUGAAAUCCCCGGGCUUAACCUGGGAACUGCAUUUGUGACUGCACGGCUAGAGUGUGUCAGAGGGGGGUAGAAUUCCACGUGUAGCAGUGAAAUGCGUAGAUAUGUGGAGGAAUACCGAUGGCGAAGGCAGCCCCCUGGGAUAACACUGACGCUCAUGCACGAAAGCGUGGGGAGCAAACAGG